rnacentral:rRNA from 1 species
GCAGUCGACGAUGAAGCUGGAGCUUGCUCCGGUGGAUUAGUGGCGAACGGGUGAGUAACACGUGAGCAAUCUGCCCUUGACUCUGGGAUAACUGCGGGAAACUGUGGCUAAUACCGGAUACGAGACUGAGAGGCAUCUCUCAGUCUGGAAAGAAUUUCGGUCAAGGAUGAGCUCGCGGCCUAUCAGCUAGUUGGUGAGGUAAUGGCUCACCAAGGCGACGACGGGUAGCCGGCCUGAGAGGGUGACUGGCCACACUGGAACUGAGACACGGUCCAGACUCCUACGGGAGGCAGCAGUGGGGAAUAUUGCACAAUGGGCGAAAGCCUGAUGCAGCAACGCCGCGUGAGGGAUGAAGGCCUUCGGGUUGUAAACCUCUUUUAGCAGGGAAGAAGCGAAAGUGACGGUACCUGCAGAAAAAGCACCGGCUAACUACGUGCCAGCAGCCGCGGUAAUACGUAGGGUGCAAGCGUUGUCCGGAAUUAUUGGGCGUAAAGAGCUCGUAGGCGGUUUGUCGCGUCUGCUGUGAAAAUCCGAGGCUCAACCUCGGACCUGCAGUGGGUACGGGCAAACUAGAGUGCGGUAGGGGAGAUGGGAAUUCCUGGUGUAGCGGUGGAAUGCGCAGAUAUCAGGAGGAACACCGAUGGCGAAGGCACAUCUCUGGGCCGUAACUGACGCUGAGGAGCGAAAGCGUGGGGAGCGAACAGGAUUAGAUACCCUGGUAGUCCACGCCGUAAACGGUGGGUGCUAGUUGUGGGUU